CUAGCAAAGAAAAAGCUUCUCUUAACACACCCUUCCUCGUCCCUUCAUUCCCAGUUUGGUUUUCCCAUCUAACUUUAUCUUGUUCAGCUAUUGGCUAGUCAGCUUGUUUAUUAAACCAAUCAUAGCAGCGUAUGUUCAUACAAUGUACAGAAGGAUUAUUCCACGGCACUCCCCUGCAAAAGAGGACUUUCCCUGAAGUCUACGCCACCCAGGUCAGAGGUCGGAACUCUUGUAAAAUGCAAUGGGAGCUUCUGUUUGGAGUUGUGACGAAUGUCUACACUUCACUUGUAUGUGUAGAGAUCAUGCUGGGCUCGGCAGUAAUCACUGUGCUUCAGAACCUCCUUAAGUACAGGAAUGCUAUGUAUGUAAUCUGAAAUGUCCUGACACACAGGCUUCAGUGUUUGAACUUAGACUCCCGCUAGAUGGCGCUGUUUAGGAAGCAGUGGGACCUUUGCAACUUACAUCCCUGCUUAGAGAAAUGGGUGGCAGUUAGCCUUAUAGGCUAUAUCCACCGGUAGCUCCAGCCUGAGCUCUCUCUUUUGAGCUGUUUUAGCCACUCAGUUCGUGGUAGUUUGUUAUGACAGCCUCAGAAAAUUAAUACAGUUGCUCUUUUGCCCUCCUCUAUCAGCAGUACCUGGUUUGUAAUAGUUCAACGUAAAUAUAUUUAUUUUUGUAUUUUACAGUAGUGAUACAGCAAUAGACACACAGUAAACAGAUGCUGACUUCUGAAAUCUGCAAUAAAUCUAAAAGCCGUCUGCUCCGGACUCCAAGAACAAAGCAUGGUUCCGCCCAGAGCCAAUGAUGGACUGAGUGGGACACGGAGACCCACACGUGUGCAUGGAACAGUCCACCCCCAUCUCUGAGAAAACAUGGGAACACCCAGCACCUUGUGGCACCGGGCACUAUUAUACACCGGAUACCAACCACUGAAGGCCAAGAGGAUAGGGCUCUACAGAGUCGGCCCCGCCCCUCACUGACUACAACACCAGGGAGAACUUGCCCUGCCCCUCACCAGCAGAAGUACUCAGGUCCUACACCGCGCCUGGGCAGCACAGUAGAGCUGACCCUGUAGACGGAGGUGCAGGUGAGCCAGCCCUGAGGACAUAACAAUAGCCUAGAGGGUACUGCUCCCCUCGCCUGUGGUUUGGUGGGGAGGGUGAGGGAGAGAUGCCCUCCUGCCUCGAGCCAUCGGUGCAGCUGGUGAGAGCUGAUCCUCCCCUUUACCAGCUGUAGCACUGGGGAAAGUGGGCACUGCGCCUGUCUGGGCAUCACAAUGGAGAUGACCCUGGUAACAGGGGUGAGGUGUCAACAGGGACUUCCUGAUCCCUCACCUGCUGCAGCACUUGGGAAAGUCAGCCCUACACCUCCUCUGGGUAGCACAGUAGAGUCAAUCCUGUUGGCAGGGGCAUGGGUGAGCCAGCCCUGAAGUUGUGAGCAUGGGAGAGCUGACCCCACUACCCCUCUGUCAAGAUGCCCCCUCUUAACCCUUGGCCCUCACCACCUAUGGCAGACAAGGAAGCUGACCCUUGCCCUCACCAGCUGCAGCAUUCAGGAAAGUAGGCCCUGCUCCUCACCUGGGCAGCACAGUAGAGCUGUUGGCAGGGGCACAGGUAAGAGUGGGCUAGCUGGCCACCCCCCAUUGUCUGUCAUGUGAUGGUAGGAGCUAGGGAGAGAUGCCCUCUCCCCCUCGCCCCUGCUAGCCACCUGACGCAGUGAGGGAGCUGACCCUCCCCCCCUUAUCCGAUGCAGAUUCAGGAAAGUGGGCCCUGCACCUCACCUGGGCAGCACAGUAUUGCUGACCCUAUUGACUGGGGUGCCAGUGAGUCAGCCCCAAGAAGGAGAAUGUGGGAGACCUGGCCCUGCCCCUCGUCAGCCAUAUGGUGGCAUGGGUUGGGAAAGACCCUGUCCCCCUCCCUACCCCUUGCCACCUGAGGCAGAUAGGAGAGCGGACCCUGAGGUCAUAAGAGAUGGAGAGAGGACCCUGCCCUCACCAGCUACCGCGUCUCAGCUGGACAACACAGUAGAGCUGGCCCUGAAGGCACAGGUAUAGGAGAACUGACCUUGAGGGUGAAAGCAAGGGAGUUGGUCCCAUCCCUUUCGAGUUGCUGCAAAGGGUGAGCUAGCCAGAACAAUGCAGGAGAGCUCACCCUGGUGGUGAGGACAGGGAAGAGCUGGCGGGCUGACCAACUCUACAACUACCCAGGCCCACAAUCAGAGUCUAAGUUGGCCCACUCAACACCCUCACUAUCUAUGAUCUGUUAGAGCACUGGACGGGGUAUGUCCUAUAGAUCCAAAGCUGCAGGGUCUCUGCACAGGGCAGCAACAGGAUAUCCAAGAAGAGCCCCAGUGAGGGCCCUGUAUUGAUUGUGUAGUAGAAACCAGAGACCUUGAAUUAAAUCAAUGACUAUUUGCAGUGAACACUUGCAAGUAUAUAUGGAUAAAAGGGUAUACUGCAUGACUCACUGUUUCACACUACAGCUUCCAGGACGAGAUUUAAGAUGAGAUUUUUCCCCCACUUAAAUUUUGUUAUUUUAUUUUGGGGGUGGGUUGUAAAGGGUAGAGGGUGAAUAUGAAGGGACAGGGAGAUGAAUGACAUCGAGAUGAAUGACAUCAAGAUGAAUGACACAAAGAAUAAAUUUUAAAAAAGUAAAAACCCAUAAAACAAAAAUGACUCCAACCUGUAAGCCCCACUUGCCUAAGGAUGGAUAAGUUCCUAGAAUGUUGGGGGCCUUUGUUGAUAUAAGAAAACAAACCACAU